rnacentral:rRNA from 1 species
AAUGAACGCUGGCGGCGUGCCUAACACAUGCAAGUCGGAUGUGCCGCAAGGUGCAUGGCAGACGGGUGAGUAACGCGUGGGGAACCUACCUCUUCGUGGGGAAUAACGAUCCGAAAGGAUUGGUAAUACCGCAUGAGACCGACGGCUGGGAUGCUGUCGGUGAAAGCUGGGGACCGGAAACGGCCUGGCGCGAGGAGAGGGUCCUGCGUCUGAUUAGCUAGUUGGUGGGGUAACGGCCUACCAAGGCAUCGAUCAGUAGCCGGCCUGAGAGGGUGAUCGGCCACACUGGAACUGAGACACGGUCCAGACUCCUACGGGAGGCAGCAGUGGGGAAUUUUGCGCAAUGGACGAAAGUCUGACGCAGCAACGCCGCGUGGGUGAUGAAGGUCUUCGGAUUGUAAAACCCUGUCGUCGGGGACGAAGGUAGGAGGGUUAAUAGCCCUUUUGCUUGACGGUACCCGGAGAGGAAGCCCCGGCUAACUCUGUGCCAGCAGCCGCGGUAAAGUCGU